AAGCAACCCAGAGCCCUCCUCCCGCCUGCUCUGUGUAGGAGACAGCCUGCGGAGCCCACUGCCGGCGCGCAGAGAGCCCAGCAGCUCUUGAGUCCAGGAAGCAAGGGUGGGAGGAGGGACGAGCCAGUGGCAAUGACCCAGACCCGGACGACCCCCAUUGCUGAGCCAGCGGAGCUGCUUGGAGGCAGAGGUUGCAGUGAGCUGAGAUUUUGCGACUACACUCCAACCUGGGCAACAGAGCGGGACUCCAUUCCAAAAAAAUAAGAAAAACAGAAAAAUAAUAAUUACAUCUGCAAAGACCUUAUUUCCAGGCUCAAGCAGAGUCUUCCUCCUGGUGUUCCAGAAGGAGUUCAAGGUCCUGCUCCAUAUGGGACAGCUAGAUUCUGAGGGCAAUGUUGAGAUCCUCAUCUCCAGAAGGUGCUGGUGCCAGAAAUAUGACAAAAGGCUGAUUGACGGGCCAGGCGCGGUGGCUCACGCCUGUAUUCCCAGCACUUUGGGAGGCCAAGGCGGGUGGAUCAUGAGGUCAAGAGUUCGAGACCAUCCUGGCCAAUAUGGUGAAACCCUGUCUCUACUAAAAAUACAAAAAAUUAGCUGGGCGUGGUGGCACGCAUCUGUAGUCCCAACUACUUGGGAGGCUGAGGCAGGAGAAUUGCUUGAACCGGGAGGAGGAGGUUGCAGUGAGCAGAGAUCGUGCCACUGCUCUCCAGCCUGGGCGGCAGACUGAGUGAGAUUCUGUCUAAAAAAAAAGAGGCCUGGUGUGGCGGCUCAGGCCUGUAAUCCUAGCACUUUGGGAGGCUGAGGCAGGUGGAUUGCCUGAGGUCAAGAGGUCAGGACCAGCCUGUCCAACAUGGUGAAACCCCAUCUCUACUAAAAAUGCAAAAAUUAGCCAGAUGUGGUGGCACAUGCUUGUAAUCCCAGCUACUUCGGAGGCUGAGGCAGGAGAAUCGCUUGAACCCAGAGUGUGGAAGUUGCAGUGAACCAAGAUCAUGCCACUUCACUCCAACCUGGGCGAAAGAGCAAAACUUCAUCUCAAAAAAAGAAAAGUAUUUAAAAAAAAAAAAACUAGCCAGGCUUUGUAGCAUGUGCCUGUUGCCCCUUCUAAUUGGAAGGCUGAGGUGGGAAGAUCACUUGAGCUUGGGAGGUUAAGGCUGCAGUGAGCAGUGGUUGCACCACCUCACUCCAACCUGGGGUCAGAAGGAGACCCUAUCUCAAAAAAAACAACUUUGUAAACUGUGAUCCACACCUCAGUGCAGUGGGAUAAAACUGUCCAGUAGCCUUGGCCUCCGAGGCCCUGUCUGAAUCCUCCUUUUUUGCACCUGUAGCUAAAGGGCAGCAAGUGUUUUCUGUACUCUAUAUUCACUUUUAGACAAGUCACUUUUAGAGACUUGUUUAAAGAUUCAAAAUGAGUUAUAAUAAAAAAUAAAUGUAAAAUAUACCUAGCAAUUGGUAUCGAUUGACAAGAAAGCUUUCUUUGCUUGUUCCCACAUGAAGAAAAAAGGUGAAGAAUUACAAAAGCACAGACUCCCUUUUUUUGGUAAGAUGGCGGGGUACGACUUAACUACUCGCAUCACGCACCUUUUGGAUCGGCAUCUAGUCUUUCCGCUCCUUGAGUUUCUCUCUGUAAAGGAGAUAUAUAAAGAAAAGGAAUUAUUACAAGGUAAAUUGGACCUUCUUAGUGAUGCCAACAUGGUAGACUUUGCUAUGGAUGCAUACAAAAACCUUUAUUCUGAUGAUAUUCCUCAUGCUUUGAAAGAGAAUAGAACCACAGUUGUUGCACAACUGAAACAGCUUCAGGCAGAAACAGAACUAAUUGUGAAAAUGUUUGAAGAUCCAGAAACGACAAGGCAAAUGCGGUCAACCAGGGAUGGUAGGAUGCUCUUUGACUACCUGGCGGACAAGCAUGGUUUUAGGCAGGAGUAUUUAGAUACAUUCUACACAUAUGCAAAAUUCCAGUAUGAAUGUGGGAAUUACUCAGGAGCAGCAGAAUAUCUUUAUUUUUUCAGAGUGUUGGUUCCAGCAACAGACAGAAAUGCUGUAAGUUCACUCUGGGGAAAGCUGGCCUCUGAAAUCUUAAAGCAGAAUUGGGAUGCAGACAUGGAAGACCUUACAUGGUUAAAAGAGACCAUAGAUAAUAAUUCUGUGAGUUCUCCACUCCAGUCUCUUCAGCAGAGAGCAUGGCUCGUUCACUGGUCUCUGUUUUCUUCAAUCACCCCAAAGGUUGUGAUAAUAUUGUUGAUCUCUUCCUUUACCAGCCACAGCAUCUUAAUGUGUCCACACAUUCUUCACUAUUUGACUACAGCAGUCAUAGCAAACAAGGAUGUUCGAAAACGUUGGCAGGUGCUAAAAGAUCUAGGUAAAGUUACUCAACAGGAGUCUUACACAUAUAAAGACCCAAUUACAGAAUUUGUUGAAUGCUUAUAGAUUAACUUUGACUUAGAUGGGGCUAAGAAAAAGCUGAGAGAAUGUGAAUCAGUGCUUGUGAACGACUUCUUGGUGGCUUGUCUUAAGGAUUUCAUUGACAAUGCCCAUCUCUUCAUAUUUGAGACUUUCUGUCACAUCCACCAGUGUAUCAGCAUUAACAUGUUGGCAGACAAAUUGAACAUGACUCCAGAUGAAACUGAAAGGUGGAUUGUAAAUGUGAUUAGAAAUGCAAGACUGGAUGCCAAGAUUGAUUCUAAAUUAGGUCAUGUGGUUAUGGUAACAAUGUACUCUCACCCUAUCAGCAAGUGAUUGAAAAGACCAAAAGCCUUUCUUUUAGAAGCUAGAUUUUGGCCAUGAAUAUUGAGAAGAAACUUAAUGACAAUAGCAGGUCAGAGGCUCCUAACUGGGCAACUCAAGAUUCUGGCUUCUACUGAAGAAACAUAAGGAAAAGAUUUUAAAAAAACUCUAAAAGAAAGAUGAAAUAAUAAAACUAUUAUAUAAAGGGUGACUUACAUUUUGGAAACAACAUAUUGAGUGUAAAUUGUGAAGAAUUGGAAUAAAAUUGACUGAUUCAAAAAAAUUUAAUUCACAAAAAAAUUUUAAUCCUUUUAAGCUAAUUAUAGAUUCACAUGUAGUUGUAAGAAGUUACAAAGAGGCUAGGUGCAGUAGCUGACGCCCAUGAUCCCCGCACUUUGGGAGGCCGAGGCAGGCAGAUCUCUUGAGGCCAGGAGUUUGAGACUAGCCUGGCCAACAUGGCAAAACCCCAUCUCUACAAAAAAUUAGCAAAGCAUGGUGGCACAUGCCUGUAAUUACAGCUACUUGGGAGGCUGAGGCAUGAGAAUCACUUGACCUGGGAUUACAAGUGUAAUCCCAGCCAUAGGCUGGGUGCAGUGGCUCACACCUGUAAUCCCAGCACUUUGGGAGGCCAAGGUACGGGUGGAUCACCUGAGGUCAAGAGUUCAAGACCAGCCUGGCCAACAUGGUGAAACCCCGUCUCUACAAAAACACAAAAAUUAGCCGGGCAUGAUGGUGCGCACCUGUAAUCCCAGCUACUCAGGAGGCUGAGGCAGGAGAAUCGCAUGAACCCAGGAGGCAGAUGUUGCAGUGAGCCAAGAUCACGCCAUUGCACUCCAGCCUGGGCAACAGAGUGAGACUCCACCUCAAAAAAAAAAAAACAAAAAAAAACCACCAGCCAUUUGGGAAGCCAAGGCAGGAUUGCUUGAGACCAACCAGAAGUUCAAGGUUGCCUGGGCAACAGAGCAAGACUGUCUCGAGACAAAACAAAAAGUCAGCAUCUUCUGCCCACUUUUACUUUAACAUACAUUUAUGGAUCUAUUGUCUCUUUCCCUGUUCUAAAACUUUAAAUUUCACAAGAAUGAAGAUUUUGCUGUCUUGUUUCCUGCUGUGUCCCCAGCAUAAACAGCAUAAAGAAGUGCCAUAAGAUAGAAAUUUUUGUUUUCUGUUCACCAGUAUAUCCACAGCACCUAGAACAGCAUCUGCUUUAGACUUAUUAGAUGAAGACUUAAAAAAAAAAGGAACAGCACUUCUGCACAUAUUUAGCACUUGAUACAUAUUUGUGGAAUAAUUUCUAUCAUAACUAGCAGCUACUUCCUAAUUUGAUAUGUAGCAUCCCGUAUUAACAGGACUUUUGUGAAUGGAGAGGACAUCUAUUUAUUCUUUGUUAUGUGCCAAAUAUAUUUGUAUUAAUCAUAACUCUUAAUAUUCCUUUAAAAUUAAAUAAUUGUUUCCACAGCUCUUAAAAUAGAAUUUAGGAACCUAGCAACAUGCCACUCAUCCAUUAACAGUGAUAAAUUAUUUAAUUUUAUAAACUUUUCAUUAAAGUAACUGAUAUAGUUUGGAUAUGUGUACCUGCCCAAAUCUCAUGUUGAAUUGUAAUCCCCAGUGUUGGAGGUGGGGCCUCACGGGAGUUGACUGGAUCAUGGGGGCAGCUUUCUCAUGAAUGGUUUAGCACCAUCCACUUGGUGCUGUUCUCAUGAUAGUGAGUUCUCAUGGUGUCUGGUCAUUUAAAAGCAUGUGGCAUGGCUCACACCUGUAACCCCAACACUUUGGGAAGCCAAGGUGGGCAGAUUGCUUGAGUCCAGGAGUUAGAGACCAGCCUGGUCAACAUAGCAAAACCCUGUCUCUCUGAAAAAUAUAAAAAGUCACCAGGUGUGGUGGCACACACCUGUGGUCCCAGCUACUUGGGAGGCUGAGGUGGGAGGAUCACUUGAACCGGGAGUUGGAUGUUGCCAUGAGCCAACAUCCCAGACACUGCACUCCAGUCUGGCGACAGAGCAAGACCCUGUCUCAAAACAACCACAAUAACAAAAAGCUGUUGACACCUCCCCUGCAACUUCUUGCUCCUGCUCUGGCCAUGUGAUGUGCCUACUCCUCCUUCAUCUUACACCAUGAUUGUAAGUUUCCUGAGGCCUCCCCAGGAGCCAAGCAGAUGCCAGCAUCAUGCUUCCUGUACAUCCUGCAGACUCGAGAGCCAAUUAGACCUCUUGUCAUUAUAAAUUACCCAAUCUCAGGUAUUUUUUUUACAGCAAUGCAAGAAUGCACUAAUAACGAAUCUAGGUCGGGCACAGUGGCUCACGCCUGUAAUCCCAGCACUUUGGCAGGCCCCAGGCAGGAGGAUUACUUGAACUCAGGAGUUUGAGACCAGCCUGGGCAACAUAACAAGACCCUCUCCAUGUUGGGGUCUCUUUAAAAACACACACAGCUGGGCGCGGUGGCUCACGCCUGUAAUCCUAGCACUUUGGGAGGCCAAGGCGGGCGGAUUACCUGAGGUCAGGAGUUCGACACCCGCCUGGCUAACAUGGUGAAACCCCAUCUUUACUAAUGAUACAAAAAUUAGCUGGGCCUGGUGGCACACACCUGUAGUCCCAGCUACUCGGGAGGUUGAGGCAGGAGAAUCACUUGAACCUGAGAGGCAGAGGUUACAGUGAGCUGAGAUCAUGCCACUGCACUCCAGCCUGGGCAACAGAGUGAUACUCCAUCUCAAAAAGAAAAAAAAGGCGGGGCACGGUGGCUCACGCCUGUUAUCCCAGCACUCUGGGAGGCCGAGGUGGGUGGAUCACCUGAGGUCAGGAGUUCAAGACCAGCCUGCCCAACAUGGUGAAACCCCAUCUCUACUAAAAAUACAAAAAUUAGCCAGCCAUGGUGGCAGGCACCUGUAAUCCCAGCUACUCGGGAGGCUGAGGCAGGAGAAUCGCUUGAGCCUGGGAGGCGGAGGUUGCAGUGAGCCGAGAUCGUGCCACUGCACUCCAGCCUGGGUGAUAGAGUGAGACUGCAUUUCAAAAAACUAAAAAGAAAACACACACACACACGGCCAGGUGCGGUGGCUCAUGUCUAUAAUCCUAGCACUUUGGGAGGCCGAGGUGGGCAAAUCAUUUGAGGCCAAGAGUUCGAGACCAGCCUGGGCAACAUGGCAAUACCCUGUCUCCUCUAAAAAUAUAAAAAUUAGCCAGGUGUAAUGGCACAUAUCUAGUCCCAGCUACUCAGGAGGCUGAGGCAGGAGAAUCACUUGAACCCAGGAGGCAGAGGUUGCAGUGAGCCAAGAUCAUGCCACUGCACUGUAGCCUGGGUGACAGAGUGAGACUCCAUCAAAAAAAAAUUAAACACACACAUACACAAAUCUAAUGUAUCAGAUAUCCUUAAAUGCUUCUAACACUGAAAAUGAGAUGAAUAUCACAACUAGAAUGGUUAUCACAUUAUACAUAAGUGGGUUGCAAAAACUGAUUUUAUUAUACACGUAUACUUUUUAAUUUACAUUUGGAUUCAAACUUUUUUUAUUAUACACUCCUGGCAUAUGUAACAUUCAGAUAGUUCUCUUUCUAGCACUAUGAUAAUCUCAUCAGAUCCCAAGAGUUGGGGAGGAGGACUUGAUUUCAGACUAUCCAGUUUGCAAAUCCACAUCACAUAUGCCUUUACGAAUUAUUUUGAAUAGGUAGUAUGCAUUACACAAACACUAUACAGUGAAGUCUUUUUCAACCUCUCUCAGUUAAUUAUAUCUUCUCAAAACUAUUCUACGCAAACACAAAGACAUAUGUACUAUAUGUUUUUGUUUUUGUUUUGAGACAGAGUCUCACUCUGUCACCUAGGCAGAGUGCGGCAGUGCGAUCUCAGCUCACUGCAACCUCUGCCUCCUGAGUUCAAGCAAUUCUCCUGCCUCAGCCUCCCAAGUAGCUGAGAUUACAGGCACGUGCCACCAUGCCUGGCUAAAUUUUGUACUUUUAGUAGAGAUGAGGUUUUGCCACGUUGGCCAGACUGGUCUCAAACCCCUGACCUCAGGUGAUAGGCCCACCUCGGCCUCCCAAAGUGCUAGGAUUACAGUCAUGAGCCAUCAUUACCAGCCUACUAUAUAUAUAUUUUUUAACACUGUAUACAAUACACACAGUUUGCACCUUUUUUUUCUUCAUUUAAUAAUGUAUCUUGAGGAUUGUUGCAUUUGGCACUUCAUCUAAAUACAAAUUAUUUUUUCUCCCACUAAAAUAUAGAUUUCAUGAUGAUGAGCACUUAUCUUUUCACUGCUUUUUAUUUUUAAAUGUGUUUUUCUGUUGUUUCAUGAAUAUUUAGUUUGUAUGCUAUCUUUUGCCUUUGUCAGUAAUGCUGUUGCAAUCAAUAUCCUUGUACACGUCAAUUCUUACAAGUAGGAGUAUAAAUACAGGAUGAAAUUCCAAACGUAGAUUUGCUGUGUCAAGGGGUGUGUACCUUUCCAAUUGAUAAGGUAUUGCCAAAUGUCUUCCCAUUGAGGUUGAACCAAUUUAUAUACUCACUAGCCUUGUUGCUAACAUUAUAACACAAGAAGCAUUAAAAUUGAUUUUUGAACAAAAUCAAUGUAUAUGCUUUUAAGUGUUCUUUCUUUUUAAAAAAUCAUUAUUGGAAAAUGCAAGCAGGAAUACAUGGCAAGCAGAGCCCAUGCAAUGGCCAGAAUUCCUACAGCAGAAAUGACUUCAACAUUUGUUUAUAAAGAUUUUCUCCAAAUGAUUUGUUGAAAUAACUUGAGUCUUCAAGGUUUAAUUUUCCAAAUGUUGGCUCAAACCUGCACUGAAAUUCUGGCCUACGGUGUCCUAGCAAAAAUCUCCCUUUGCAAGAUGCUGAGGUAUAUUGGCAAAACCGCAGAUCACAUGACUCCGGGAGUUUGAGACCAGCCUCGCCAACAUGGUGAAAUCCUGUCUCUACUAAAAAUACUAAAAUUAGCCGGGCAUGGUGGGGCAUGCCCGUAUUCCCAGCUACUCAGGAGGCUGAGACAGAAGAAUCCUUGAACCUGGGAGGCAGAGGUUGCAGUGAAGGUGACAAAACGAGACUCUGUCUAAAAAAAAAAGUAGAGGUCAAGGCAAUCAUUCCUAGGGACCAGGUAGAACCCAACUGGAGAGGAAGAUGACACAAUUCAACAUGCUAUGGAGGAGGGAGAGUAGGUUUUAUCCAGGAUCACAUGGGACAAAUGCAAGGACAGGCUCAAGUUUCCCACAUGCAGCAUUUCUCAAUCCCAUUUUCCUUGGCAAGAGUUCUUCCCAUUACUAGGCUAUUCCAAUAUAGACUAAGCUGUUGCCCUGGAAGGACUCUAUACUUUGCAAAUUUUUUUUUUUUUUUUUUUUUUUUUUUUUUGAGACAGAGUCUUGCUCUGUCACCCAGGCUGGAGUGCAGUGUCGCAAUCUUGGCUCACAGCAACCUCCGCCUCCCGGGUUCAAGCAAUUCUCCUGCCUCAGCCUCCCGAGUAGCUGGGAUUACAGGCACCCGCCACCACACUCGGCUAAUUUUUGUAUUUUUAGUACAGACGGGGUUUCACCAUGUCCGUCAGGGUCAGGAUCACCUGACCUCAGGUGACCCACCUGCCUCGGCCUUGCAAAGUGCUGGGAUUACAGGCUUGAGCCACUACGCCCGGCCUGUAAACUUUUAAGAUGUUAUUAGAGACAGGAUUCCGCUCUGUCACCCAGUCUGGAAUGCAGUGGUACAAUCAUAGCUCACUGCAGCCUCCAACUACUUAGCUCAAGCGAUCCUCCCGCCUCAGCCUCUCAAGUAGCUAGGAUUAUAUGGAGGAGCCACAGCCUGGGAAAUUUCUAAGUAAACAUAUACUAUUACACUCCUUACGGGGAGGAAGAGGAGGAGUGUGGGAUGUCGAAGACAGAGGAUGCAACUUGUAGAGAGUAAGUGAAUGAAGGGGGAAUUCCGGCAAGGAAUUGCCGACUUGAGGCUGACUUCAUCUUUCAGGGUCCACGAGGCUGGUGUCAGACCUAUUGGGAGACCCUCUGCGUUAGUGAGAAAAACGGCAAGAAAUGGGAGCACGCGGAAACCUCCAAGACUAGAGCCACCAGAUGCCACCGACAGCACGCAGCUGGACCAGCACGGGGGAGGGCCUUCGUGGGUCGAGAGCUCGCUCGGGAGAUAGUUGGUGCUUUUCUUUCAGGAGAAGAAUCCCUGGCGGAGUCUGACCGUUCUCUGGCGCACAGCCCCGGGGGUGGGCACAGCAGCCGCCCCUGCUGAAGGGACUGACGCCUCCGACGACCAGCAGCCAAGUUAAACGCACUGUUCCGUGAGCAGCUUUGUUGGAGACAGCGCGGUUCACAUUCUCUUCCAACGGAGCCGCUGACUGCGGAGCUGGGAGGGGACGUGACAGAACCCAGCCAUCCAACGUCCCCCCACCCCUCCCCAGCUGGGACCUCCGGCUGCUUCCGGGCUGCGCUGGGUGGCGUCAAGGAGCCGCCCCUCUGGGCCGCGUCCCUCCCUCACGCCCUGCACACUGGCCCUGUGUGGCCGGCGGGGCGCCUAAAAGGGCGGAAGGAUGCAGGGGCGGAGGGGGCUCGGGAUUGCACGCCUAGCUCAGACCCCCCAGCCAGGACCCCUCGCGCUGUUGGACACGCCAGCCUCCCGACCCUGCGGCUCCUACGGGAGGUGACAAGGACCCUGCCAACCUGGCCUGAAUGGCCCAGUUUGAUACAGAUCAGGUUUUCAAUGAAUGAGACCGCGGUGUGGUCUAGGCGGAGGGAUGAGAGGAGGGGAUUCUGCUGGGAUAAGUGGGGGCGGGGUAAGGAGGGGAUUCUUUUCCUGGGCUGAGGAGAACGCAGGGACAAAGUACACAGGGGUAGUUGAGUGAGCAGGUGAGGCCCUAGGCUGGUUCCCCACCUUCUCAGGAUCGGAGCCACUCACUUCCUGGUACUCUCUGCAGUCUCCUGGCGUUAAAUAACAUCCCUUUGCUGGAGACUCUGGAUUCACAUCCAUAAUCGCAGCCUCCCCUACUCAUCCCCUCACGCUUCCCAUGAACUAACCUUGAAGGACCCGACCAGAGCCCUGACCUCCGUCCCACACACCUGCUACAUGGAAGGUGUUCUCCACAUCAGUUCAAGGCAGUGUCACUCUUCAGGAUGUUCAGGCUCUAAACCUUGGACUCCUCCUCCAGAUUUCUCUCUCCUUCCUUCUCCUUGUCUCUCCCUUGCACUUACGGUUCACUUUUCCUUCGUAGCUUUGUAGCUCAUUCCCCCUUCCACUUUCCACACCACCUUCUGGUCUGUUAAUUAAAUAUUACCUGGUUUCCACUGACACCUUCCCUGGGUUCCCAAUUGAAAAUCACAACAUCAUCCUCCUCCUCUGCUUUUUUUCUCCAAAUUAUAUCCUCACCCAAUUAUGUGUUAUUCUCAUUAAUCUUGCUUAAUUAAUUAGCAGACAUUAUUAAUGCCUGUUUCCCCUAUCACCACCACUAGACUAUGAACUCCUAAGGACUCCUUCCUUCCACCACUGUUGUACUCGCUUCACCUAGAACUGCUUGGCACAUACAAUGUGCUCCAUAAAUAUUUGUUGAAUGAAAGACUAGACACAACUUAGGAUUCACUCCCCCAUGUGGCAUCCAUAAGCCCUGUAUGCAGGUAAAAUGUCAGUGGGUUGACUAAAUACUGGAAGUGGAAAAAACUUCACCUCUUUGGUUUGCAGUUGUCUAGGAUAUUUAGGCCAAUGGAAAAUCCAGUUUUCCUUAGAAUUAAGCCAGUGCCGCCAGACUUGCCAGUUUACCAUGCUUGUCUGACUGGUCCUCAGCAUGGGUCAUACGUGUCCAAUGAAUUCAAACAAAAUCUUGAGAAGACACGAACCUUGCCCUUCGGCUGGGCGCGGUGGCUCACGCCUGUAAUCCCAGCACUUUGGGAGGCCGAGGCAGGCGGAUCACGAGGUCAGGAGAUCGAGACCAUCCUGGCUAACAUGGUGAAACCCCGUCUCUACUAAAAAUACAAAAAAUUAGCCGAGCGUGGUGGCGGGCGCCUGUAGUCCCAGCUACUCAGGAGGCUGAGGCAGGAGAAUGGCGUGAACCCGGGAGGCGGAGCUUGCAGUGAGUGAGCCGAGAUCGCACCCCUGCACUCCAGCCUGGGCGACAGAGCGAGACUCCGUAAAAAAACAAAAAAAAAACCUUGCCCUUCAUUCCCCAUUUCUAUCAUAAUCUACACAGAGUUUUGAACAGGCAUUUUAAAAUCAACAAUAUAUUAUUUACAAUUUUGUUAGUAUACAUAACUCUAACUCACUGUUAAAAAUCACCUGUCUUUAUAUCCAUUAAAUGACACUUGCAUAUGCUCCAA
rnacentral:lncRNA from 1 species